rnacentral:lncRNA from 1 species
CAUUAUUAUACAUGUGCCCAUUUAUUUUCUUGCAGUACUUUAGAGAAGCCUUUUCAGUAAUGUUGAAUCAGAGCAAAGCAAUCUAGUGUAUUCUGCAGCAGGCCUGUAGCAUACUGUUUUGAAAAAGGCACUCCUAUAUUAAAUUAUAUACAACACAAAUAUUGUUUUAUAAUACUGCCAUGUUUAGUUCCACGUUUGGUCUUUUGUAACUUCUGAAGGAGCAUCAUCAGAGACACCGGAAUAUCGUGGAAGGGUGUUUUAUACCAUACACUAUCUACAAAUUCACUCUUUCCACCUUAACAUUCACCAUCGUAAUCUUAACUGAAAAACAGAACAAGCUAGCAUGUUUGGGUAUCAGGUAUUUUCCCCCCUAUAAAAACACACUGGAGAGCUUUAUUGUUGUUUAGCAACAAUGUAAAAAAUACUUGCAAAAAGUAUUCAAACGUCUGCUAUUUUGAAGAUAUUCAAACCCUGCUAGACCCACUUGUUUUGUCAUUUAGCUAUUUUUAAAAGUAUUUUUAUACCGCCCUCUUGCAAAACAUCAAGGUUUCUUUGGCUAUGUUUGAAGCAAGAGGAAGAACAAGCAAGUAGUAGGUCCUCUGCAUGGGGAAAACGUAGAAAUGCUAUUGGACGAAAGAGAGAAAGGGGAACUGCUCUACCUCCUCUAUUUUUUACAUCAUAAAACCCUGCAUAGAUUUUUAAGGGUAUAGUAUAUACAUAUUUGUUCUCUAAAACCCACACAGAAAAUGGAUGGACUUUAGUCCUGUCAUGUGAUGAACUGGCCUGAAACUAAUUUUGUCCUUGAGUUCACCUCUAGGUAUAGCUUCUAUUCCUUGCAUAGACAAGAGAAAACCAUAGGUUAGCAUAAAAAAGAGAGAGAAAUAGCUACUUUGUCUUAAUGUUUUGAAAGAGAACACAAGGUAAGUCAAACAACUGAGUUCAAGGCCAGAGAUCAUGUCACUGCAGCAAUACAAAAUUCAAUUGGGCACUUGUUGGCCUCCAUUCUUCCUCUGGUCAAACAGUGAACUGGUACUCAUUAUCGAAAGUUUAUUCAGAUCUAUAUUGCUAUGCAUUAAAAAAUGGAAUAAAGACCAUCUAUUUUUAACAAGAAAAAAUGUUUGGAAUUCAAUGGUGAAUUGAACAUAAGGGCUUUGUAGGAUUACAGUGGCCUCUUUGUACUUGAUGGAAGACCAUUGAAAAAUGCAAUGGAGAAUGAACAGAAGUCCAUUUGCUUCUCAUUGCAGAUAAACCAGAGAUUUAUCAGGGAUGUGAUCAAUGCCUAGCUUAGUGAGAAUAAUCCCAUUUUUCUUAUUCGAUACAGCAUGCAUAAUGAAUUAAAGACUUAAAAACUGCACUUUUACAACUCAAAAAAUGGGGGGAAUGCAUUUAAAGAGAGGGGCAUUAAAUCCAUUCAUGAUCAUAAUAUUAAUGUUGUGUUUGUUACAGGUCUGGUUUUUCUAGGGAUGUUUCCUUCAUAAUCAUAAGAUAUCCAAAUGGAUUAGAGCAGUACAGAAAAUAACUAAAGAUGUGGAUUCUAAUAUAUUUGGGUUCUGCUCCAUCCAGCUGAUGUUAUUUCGAGGGGGUUGCUCAAGACUUCUGAAGAUUAAGCAACAACUCUAGAAACUCAGGGAUCCAGCAAAUCUGCAGAAACAGAGACAGAGUAUUGUGGCAUUAAACUGAACCCAAGAAUACUUUUUGUUUAGGGAAACCUGGCAUGUCAGGAAAUGGCGUAGUGGGAUGGAGCUGCAAGCUGACCUGUCAAUACCGCUGCUUCUGCAUCUUACCUGAACAAGUGCUGGGCCAAGCCAAAGCAGCAGAAAAGUUGGCUCUGUAUGGAUGCAUCAGAGGAGGCAAACUGGCGCUCCUGCCAGCACUUCUGCACAAUCCCAACAUCAGUGUUAUUGAUGGGUAGUAGCCACCCAUGCUGUGUUCUACCUUCUCUGUCAAAUAUAAAAGGUAAAGGUAAAGGACCCCUGACAGUUAAGUCCAGUCACAGACAACUCUGGGGUUGCGGCGCUCAUCUCGCUUUACUGGCCGAGGGAGCCAACGUUUGUCCGCAGACAGUUUUUCCAGGUCAUGUGGCCAGCAUGACUAAGCCGCUUCUGGCGAAACCAGAGCAGCGCAAGGAAACACCGUUUACCUUCCUGCUGGAGCGGUACCUAUUUAUCUACUUGCAUUUUUGGUGUGCUUUCAAACUGCUAGGUUGGCAGGAGCAGGGACCGAGCAACGGGAGCUCACCCCACUGCAGGGAUUCAAACCACCGACCUUCUGAUCAGCAAGCCCAAGAGGCUCAGUGGUUUAGACCACAGUGCCACCCUGUCAAAUAUAGUAUGCCACUAAGUAUCAGUUGCUGAGGAAGAUGGCUGGUGCACACUGGUUUUGUUUGUGGGCUUCCCACAGGAAUCUUGUUGGCCACUGUGAGAACAGGAUGCUACAGUAGAUGGGCCUUUGAUCUGAUCUAGAAUGCUUUUCUUAUGCUUCAGUGAUAUUUGGCUUUCUUAUUGCCUGAUACAGUUAAUUAAUAUCAAAACCAGCUGUUCUAUUUCUCUUUUCUGCUGCAAAGACUCUUAAAGGCUGCUGUCUGUAGCUGUUUUCCUAUAUUUAUUUCUAUUGUUUUAUACAUGUAUGUCAUAUAUUUUUAUUUUUAUUUUAGAAAUUGAUUUCCUCCCCUUCCCCCCAUUCUCACAGCCUAUUUAUAAUGCAUGGGGCGACAGAACAACACAUAAAUAACUUUGCUUAUAGAGAUCAGCCUUGGAUUCUAAUUGUUACUUCUUGUUUCCCCAUUUAAAAAAAAAGUUUAUUCCUGUAAAUUUCACUAUUAUGAAAUAUUCCUGAAAUAAAAUUGUAUACUAUAUCAUAUAUUGUUAAGCAAAUGUCAGAUUAUAGCAUACUGAGAAUAUCCAUAGUUCUCUUCUUCUUUUGUGGAAGACUAUCAGUUUUGAUGGAAAAUGUGGAUUGUUUGCAUUCUCCCUAAGCCAUUUGUAACAUGUAUUUUUGUUCUUGUUUACCAAUUUCCAUCUAGUUCCUCCCAUACCCUGUGGAACAUUCUGCUCCUUCACCCACUAAACAGAGAGAAGCACAAGAAGCUACCUAUCGUUAAUAAAUUCUCUAUUUCAAUACAUCAGUAAGCCCUUUUUUAUGCCUUAAUACAAGAGAGACUGCUCUGGUGGAAACUCUUUACUGCCGUGUAUUUUCUUGUUAAUGGCUUCAAAGUAAUAUGAACCGCAGCAUGGGUUUAAUUCCUGAAUGCAGUGCUAAAAUAGCCUGGCAGUAUUUUAGAGUAAACUUGCUGCAUUUAACCAAUGGGUCUCUAAGGACUGUAGGGAGUAAAAUGUAAUAUGCUUCUGAAAGGUAUAAAUCAAGGUCCCUAGUUAUAUGCUUUCAAAUGUGUAUUUGACAUUGUGUGGGUCAACUGACGCUUAACAGGCAAUUUGUAGCUCUGUUAGAAGCUGUGUACAUAGUUCCACUUUUCGUCUUCUCAAUAUUUUGUAUUCAUAAUGAAACUUAGGGUCCCCCCCGCCCGGUAAAUAAAUGGGACUUUAACCUGAAGUGAUCCCAACUUCAGUUUAAGGACAUGCAAAUCCCUCACAAGGUGAAAUAGGUUUCUUUUCAGCUCCAGCAUUUAUACUUCAAAUGAAAAACCCACGUAGCCUAGAAAAAAUUGCAAUGUCUCCCAAUUAAGAUGUAUUUAUGGAAGAGAAGGUAUUGCGAGUGACUAUUAAGUUAGUGGUAAAAAUUGUUUGCAGUGAUGUCUGAUGGGUGAACAUUUUUGAGUAAUGUUGCUACUCUGGUUUAGGUUGGGGCCAGGAUGACACCAUGCAGGGCCAGUGCAAGGAUAGACAACUAGUUGGCAGGUAGAGUGCCCUCCGCUCCUGGUCUCUUUGGAUCCAGAAAGACAAAGCAUGUCAAGACUUGCCCACCCUCCCUAUGGGAUUCACCAGUUGUCCAUUAGGCUGAGUGUAUGCUAUUCUCACAUUCAGCACAAGGGGAACACCCUUUUCCCCACCUUCUGCAUGCUGUUAAAGCAGGCAGGGUUGCAAUAUUUAUUGAUGUGGUUAUUUGGUUGCAUGAAACAUUACUUGGGUCACAACAUGGGUAGGCAAACUAAGGCCCAGAGGCCCAAUCACCUUCUAAAUCUGGCCCACAGACGGUCUGGGAAUCAGUGUGUUUUACAUGAGUAGAAUGUGUCCUUUUAUUUAAAAUGCAUCUCUGGGUUAUUUGUGGGUCAUAGGAAUUCGUUCAUUAUUUUUUUCAAAAUAAUAGUCCGGGCCCCCACAAGGUCUGAGGGACAGUGGAUCGGCCCAUGGCUGAAAAAGGUUGCUGACCCCUGGAUCACAACUUUGGACAAGAUACUUCCAGCUGUGCAGCCUGUUACAUCCUCUAUUGACCUUUGUCCAUCCUGGCUGGUUCAUGCAAGCUAAGGAGGGUUCACUGGGGGGAACCACGGUGUAUGGGGAACACAGUGUUGCAUGAUGAGGCAAUACUUGGAGGUUGAGAUGUGGCCACAUCUGGAAAGAAACAACAUGAACCCAGAGAUUUAUGCCAACUACCAUGCAGUCACCAGUACACCUUUUUGGGGUUAGGGUCAUUGGCUCAACUGCAGGUCCUCUUGGAUCAAACUUGACUCAUCCCAGUCUGAGUUCAGGCCCAGUUUUGAGAUACAGUGAGCAUAUCUGACAACUGGAUUUCCAUUAGAUUGAUAAAGAAUAAAAUGGGGAAACCAUACCAGUAGAAAACCAGUAGAAAAUAUACAUGGAAAUUCAAUCAGUAAGAAUAGAGAGGAAAGGUAACAGCUCCAUCACAAAAAAGGGAUCUGGUUUGGGUUUCAGUCAUGCUUUGGGACAUGUUCAGGGCAGAAAUAAAAUAAAAUAAUGAUGAGGUCUUCUGAUGAAGAACAUUGUGUAACUUGUUUUUACAGUUUAUGUCAGACUUGCUAAGACCAGGCAGUGUGCUGACACAGAAGACAAAAACAGUAGUGAAAACAGAAAAAAAAAUCUGCACGCAGAAUGCAGGUCUCAUUGUCUGAUGCAAAGCUACCCCUCAGUCAUUGUGAACUGUUAAGCCCAGUCGCUUGUUUACGUGCUCUCUAUUGUUUUCGUAUUGGUGUAUUAUUAUUAUUUUUAAUAUGGCAGGCUCACGUAGAAUUGAUUUAAGCCUGCAGUCUGUGGAACAAGAGAGAUGUUGCCUGAGUCCUCAGCUUGAAAGCUUCAUGCAGUAUCAAAUUUGGGCCUAGGUGGACGCAAACCCUCCAGGUGUCCCUAUUUCCAGGGACAGUCCCAGAUUUACAGAAGCCAUCUCAGUUUCUGAUUUGAUCCCAUAAUGUUCUGCUUUUCCUUAGGACCCCUGUUUUCAUUGGAGAAAUGCUGGAGGUUAUAGAUUUAUGCGACCCCCCAGCCAGGGAGAUAAGAUACAACCUUUAGAAGGCAGCCCUGUAUAGAGUUUUUUAAAAUGUUUAAUUUUUUAAUGCUUUUUUAUGUAUGUUGGAAGCUGCCCAGAGUGACUGGGCAACCCAGUCAGAUUGGUGGGGUAUAAAUGUUGUUGUUGUGAAAUAGAAUGUCCCCAUUUUCCUCAGAGAAAUGUUGGCGUGUACAUGGACUUUGCAGUACUUUGCUCAAUCAGGGAUCUUCUGAAGAUGUUUGUGCAUUUGGCAAAAGAACAGAGUAGCUGUCUCUUUCCAUGAAGGAAGACAAUGGUUCUGGCACACUGUCACAACCUAUCUUUAGUUGGGGUUUUGUAUUGUUUAAAAACCUAUCUUUAGUUGUUUUUAAUUGCAUGGCUGUAAACCAUCUUGAGGCAUAUGUGAGUGGUGAUUCAAACAGUAGCAAAAUAAUACUAAGACUAUUAAUAAUAAUGAAUUAGGAUGCUAUAAAGCUGGCAUGGGAACCUCAGGCCUAAGGACCAGACGCAGCCCUCGUGUUCUCCUUAUCCAGCCCUGGGGGAGAUCUUACUUGGGUAAAAUUAUCUGCAUAUAGGAACCCCUUUUGCACCAUUGUUGAAUGCAUAGAGGUUUUGGAAAGUGGAACAGGACAGCAAGCACAAACCUGUUCCCCAAUUAUUCAAUCAAUGCUUGCAAGCCAUAUCUGAAAUUGCCUCAGAAUGAAGCAAAUAUUUGAUUUUGGCCCCACUUCAUGCAUUGUCUGUGUUUUCUACCCAGCCAUUUGUAUGAAAUAGUGUCCUUAUGGCUCAGCUGAUGCAUAUGAGCACUGACAGGUGUCCACGUGCUUUGGGUUUCCAACAACCUUGUCUAUAGUCCCAAUUGGCUUUCCAUCCGAGCCAUCCUGACUACAAUUCCCAUCAGCCCUAGCUUGAAUGGCCAAUGGUAAGGGUUGAUGGGAGUUGUAGUCCAGCAACAUCCAAAGGGCACCAUGUUGGGUAGCUAUGAUCUAUGCAAUGAGCAGGGGCCAAGCGCUUUGAUCAAGUGUUCAGUCUGCAUUGCAACAGGUGCCUUCAAGACAUUUUUCUUAAUACGAUUAACCAGAACAUUGAUUAUAUUUUCUCUCCUAAUUUUAUUAGCAUCGCCUUCUGCUCUCUAGCCUCUGAAGAGGAAUUCUACUAUUUAUUGACAAAUUCAGCUGAUUCAAUAUCUAACAUACUAAUGAUCCUAAAAAUGUUUUCCUGGAAAUUGGGCUCCCCUGAGUCCAAUACAACUUACAUCUUGGAGUGCAGUUAUAUGGUGUAAAGAGGUAAGACAAAUGCAGUCAAAAGCUGUGGGAAGCCAAGUAAGCAUUUCAAAUGCCUGCUAAGUUAUCCUUUGAGGUCUUGCUUCCAAAUAGAGAAAAGAUGGGCACUCUGACUCUCCUGGGGAAGCUGUUAAAGGCCUGUAGGAUGUGAUUUAUUUGCACAGGUCUGAUGAAUGGCGUGAAAUCAAAUGACUUCAGUGAGGAAAUGAUAAACUAUCUGGAGAAUAAUGCAGCUUGAAACCUAAACAUAUGUUUAUAGUUGCUGUUCUGGGCUGAUAGCCAAGAGGGCAUUUUGCUUAGCAAGCUGGGUUAAUAUAAGUCAUACUUUCCCAAAAGCAACGCAUACAAAACAAAAAGGGCCCCGCAUUUAAUAUAGGGAGUAGACAUAUAUUAGUUUCUCUUGGUUGUGGGAAAGACCAGGUACCAAAGGGUAAAUAGCCAUACAAUUAGAACUUCAGUUCUUAAUGCAAAGAAAUAAAUCAAGUCUAUAAUAAAUAAAUUGCUCAAAGGUAACAAUUUAUUAACACACUAAUAUAUGUGAAACAAUUUGAUUGCCUGAAAUAUACUGUAUAAAUUAUUAUUAUUUAUAUUGUAAUUCACUAAAAGGCAGUCUUUGCCAAAGUGGUGCCCUCCAGGGUUUUUGGACCACAGCUCCCAUCAGCCCCAGCCAUAAGGGGAUUUUGGGUGCUGGUGACCAAGUUGCUGGUUCUGGCCAUGAAUGGCUGAGUUUGGGGGUUUUUUAAGUUGCUUGCUGACACAUGCCUUUACAUAUUUCACUUAUGGGAAUAUGGACAUUUCAGUCUGUGAUUUCUGCAUGGAGAAAGCCCCAGUAAAACAACAGAAAGGAAGUGAAAGUUUCUGAGUAACUACUUAAUGUAUACAAACAAACAGCAUGUUCGGCUAUAUGCAUAAAUGAUUACAACUCCUUUGAAAGGGUGAAUGUGUAUCUGCUAAAGCGUGAUACAGAAAGUUCUGCCAGUAUAUUGAAAUAAAAAUGUAACUGAGAUAACGGCUGCCAAAACCCGAGGAUUUGUCCAUCUUUAACAGUCAUGUCCCUGGAAUGCUGGUGUCUUGUGCUCUGUGGUCUGGUCAAUAUACUCCAACCCACGUUUUCCAUAUAUUGUUACAAGUUACACAAUCCUGCUAUAAAUCAUUUUUCAGGUCCAGCUGAACGCAGGCCAUGAGGGAAGCUGAUCACAGACAUGCUCUUGCUGCGUCUCGGCCAGCAUCCAUGGUAGGAAUAUUUAAACACAUGAGCAUCUGGGAUGUUUAAGACAGGUAAGAGCUUGCAUCGUGUCCUGCGUUACAAUUAAAUCAGCAGCGUUUUCACUGUCUUGGGGAGGAUACAUUCUGAGUGUUCUCCAUUUUUCAAACACAACAAUGAAUGCGGAAGAACUGUGCACACUUGCAUCUGUAGCUACAGGGAAUUGCAGCUGCCAUGCCCUGAACUGUGAGCGUGCACAGAAGAAAACAUACCAGGUUUCAGGGUCUUGGGUCUUGGCUGGUGCCCACAAGGAGGCAUUUUGUGUUAUUCUACAAAGCAUGGCACCCUCAGACUCCUGCUUUCUAAGGAAACGUCCAAAUGUAAAUUUCCUGGAAUGCUUGGCAUGGAGUGCCUGGAACUAGUUUAGUGUGUUGCGCUAUGUGGGAUGCAAGGAGCAUGGGUCAGUGAAAUUGAAGUAGCUGUAGGAGAAUGUUUGGUUAUUUCAGAAAAGAAGCCCAGCCAACAUUGUUGUAAAACGGAGUCUAGAACAGCAGCAUGAUUCACAGUCUAUAGUUGAAAUAGCAGUGUAACAGUGAACUCUGCAUCACAAGGGCAAUAUUUUCCAUAGGCCUUAGGAAGGGUUUGCGUGUCGAGGUCCCCAAGCCACCCCCCAAUAACUCACACAUCACACAUCAAUUUUGGUUUGGGUUUUUGGCACAAUUUUGGCCACAACUUUAUUUAAAUACAUCCGAGUGAGUGGUUGCUUAGGCAUUGGUUCAGACUAUCUGUCCUUGCCCAGGGGACAGAACUGACUUCUGGAUCCCAGCAAAAGCCAGUGCGGGAAACAAAUUUUGGGGAGAAAAUGAAGCUGGGCCUCAGUUCCUCACUUCUCCCCUCAUGCUCCUGGUGGCUUGCACGGCCCAAGUCCGAUGCCAGGGACAAGGACAAAAAGAAUGGCAAGCCCCUGGAUUCCUUUAACGGAAUUCCCUUUCCGCACACCAUUGGAGGGGUAGGCACUUACCCCUCCACCAAACAAUUUGAACCAAUGCCUAACCGCCAACCUUACAAGUUGUGACGAUUUGCUACGCAGUAGGCAAAACCAAAUGGCACCAGCCAAUCAGCCAGAUGGACAAAUUCCUUCCAGGCCCCUGCCUCAAAGCAGACGACCCCAUGACAGGCAUAGCAAGGUCAAGCAAACACCCCCCCCCCCAAUACAGUGAGGGUGGGCGGGUGAUCCAGUGCAAGCAGCCAAGAGAACGCUCAAAGUUGGGCAUCCAGUAUUUAAAACCCCUGACCCCUCCUUCAAAAUUGGCAACAAGCAGUUCUCCCCAGCGACCCAAUUAACCAAUUCACUGCCUGGGUCCCUCCAUAAAUCCGCCCAGCAACAAUGAGGUGGCUUGUAUCCCCCACCACAACACGUGCUCUCUGCUAGGGAGAACACUUUUUCCAUACAAUAUAAGGAGUUUUAGGAACAUGCCUAUUGAAAAUGGCCCCAUGCUUUGUAGGAUAAUCCUAAAUACUACACUGUCACUACAGGCCAAGGUGUGUGGAAUGUCACAUGGAAGCAGCCCACACCAGCUGUGCUCAGCUCACACUAGAUCUGUAGUGUUGGGAUUUACAUUAUAGAAGGCUGAAUGUAUUGAUACGAGUGUGUGCUGCCUUAUUUUAGAGGAGUGUAUUAAUAAAGCAAUGUAAAGACAAUUUUAAUUUGCCUCUUUUUUUGGCGGGCGGGCGGGGGGUUAAAUAAGCAUUUUUCUUGGUAUCUUUAGCUGUUUGAAAGAAACCAAAGUGGGUUUUUCAUUGAGGCAAUGGUAUGACAGGGUCUGGAAAAUUGCCUUUGUUGGGAAACUAGCAAAAAUGGAAAUUGGCAAGAGGGGAAAGAGUGAUAUUUAUCUCUAUGUAUUAAUCCAAGGUUAAGAGAUAUCUAGCCUCCAGUUUCUCAAAGAUCCUUGUGGAGAGUUUCCCUCUCAUAGAUGGAGCUUAUUGUUACUUGAUGGAAUGUUUUAAUCAUUUGAGCUUGUCUAUGCAGAUUGCUGUUUUCCCAAGACUUUGUACUUCCUGUUCUUAAAAAAAAAAGAUCAUUGGUGGUUGCAAUUUUCACAAAAUGUUAUAAAUAUAGAUACAGAAAUGUGUUCAAGUCUUUUCAGCUAACUUUGAAAUGGUAUGUGCACUUUUGCCAAUUUUCCCUACAGACGCUUGCUUGCAUCCUCUGAAGAUCUCUUCCGAAUGACUGGGAGACUGAUUGAAACCGGCGAAGUGAAGCUGCUGGAGGAGGAGAAAGUCAGCAAAAACAGCCUCCUCCCUUUUGCACUACUUAAAACUCCUCCAUGGGAUCAAAAACAUUCUGUGGGUAGAUGGAGCCUUUCUGUUCAUGAAAGUUUAUAUCUGAAUCCAACUCAAGGAAUAAAGUCAGACUCAAAUCUUACUACAAAUGCAAUAACUUUUUAGACAGAAGUUUUACUUUUCCUGGAAGUAAGCUACAUUGAAAAAUUCCUAAACAGACAGACAUAGAAAGCUGCUGUAAGAAUGUACAGUGGUACCUCGGGUUACAGACGCUUCAGGUUACAGAUGCUUCAGGUUACAGACUCCGCUAACCCGGAAAGUAGUACCUCGGGUUAAGAACUUUGCUUCAGGAUGAGAACAAAAAUCGUGCUCCAGUAGCACAAUGGCAGCGGCAGGCCCCAUUAGCUAAAGUGGUACCUCAGAUUAAGAACAGUUUCAGGUUAAGAACAGACCUCCAGAACAAAUUAAGUUCUUAAGCCGAGGUACCACUGUAUUCUUUUUUAUUAUAAUAAUUUCUAUUAAUUUUAAUACAUUUCCAAUAAAAGCCACAUUGUCACAUUACCGUAUUACAAUCCAGUUAAAAAAAAGAGAGCCAAUUAUUCAAAAACCAAAUUAAUCCAUCUGAAAUGACUUACGG